AGGCCAAGAAGGCAGUGUUGAAAGGUGUCCGCAGCCACACGCAAAAAAGAAGAUCCGCAUGUCACCCACCUUCAGGCGGCCCAAGACACUGCGACUCCGGAGGCAGCCCAGAUAUCCUCGGAAGAGCACCCCCAGGAGAAACAAGCUUGGCCACUAUGCUAUCAUCAAGUUUCCGCUGACCACUGAGUCGGCCGGAAGAAGAUAGAAGAAAACAACACGCUUGUGUUCACUGUGGAUGUUAAAGCCAACAAGCACCAGAUCAGACAGGCUGUGAAGAAGCUCUAUGACAGUGAUGUGGCCAAGGUCACCACCCUGAUUUGUCCUGAUAAAGAGAACAAGGCAUAUGUUCGACUUGCUCCUGAUUAUGAUGCUUUCGAUGUUGUAA
rnacentral:lncRNA from 1 species